rnacentral:rRNA from 1 species
GACGAACGCUGGCGGCGUGCUUAACACAUGCAAGUCGAGCGGUAAGGCCCUUUCGGGGGUACACGAGCGGCGAACGGGUGAGUAACACGUGGGUGACCUGCCCUUAGCUCUGGGAUAAGCCUGGGAAACUGGGUCUAAUACCGGAUAUGACUCCAUGACGCAUGUUGUGGGGUGGAAAGCCUUGUGCGGCUAGGGAUGGGCCCGCGGCCUAUCAGCUUGUUGGUGGGGUGANGGCCUACCAAGGCGACGACGGGUAGCCGGCCUGAGAGGGCGACCGGCCACACUGGGACUGAGACACGGCCCAGACUCCUACGGGAGGCAGCAGUGGGGAAUCUUGCGCAAUGGGCGAAAGCCUGACGCAGCGACG